CCCAUCUUUGAGGUGGGGUAAGGGACGGAUAGCCGCUGCUGAUUCGGGGCGUUUUCUUGAGCUUCCAGGGGGCAGGCUGGUAAUCAUGGGUCUGUGUUGUCGUUUCCAUAUGCAGCUACGGGAGAAAUACGUGCGAUUAUUAGCCCUAAUUGAGAGCAUAACGCCCAAAGCAAGCAUGCAUGAGAUUACCUUCAUGGCAGUAGACACACAUACUUGUAGCAUACAUGCUCUGAUUAUCUACUAGGUGAGUUCCAUAGAUGUGCAUACCGGCAGCCUUCAGGGACUUGAAAACGUCUAAACUACCCCGCAAGUCGCACUGGAACAGAGGGCUUGAACCUGCUGGCAACCCUCAAUCAGCUCCAUUUUGACCUCCUGUGGCAUGCAGGGGCUGCAAUAUGAAGACUAUUCAUAGUUACGGCGCCCUCAAGCCGGAGGCAGAAUGGAGGAGACAAAGGAGGCCCUAUUGCCCCUCGUUCGCCUUGCCGUCAACGGCAACGACGGAUCGGCCCGUUCGACACAGGAGAAACGCCAGCGGCACAAGGAUGCCUUUACGAAGAACCUUGUCAACCACAAAUCGAAUCGAAACAAUUGAUAGUAGUCGUUUACACAAUAGUAGUGGGCCUGCUAUUGCCUGCCAGUUGACGAGUCGCUGUACUUCUAGGGCGAAUAUACUCCUACUCCUGCUGCCAUCAAACAAGACUAGCCAUUUCUUCGACUGCUAACUCGUACAGUGGCCGGCGAUCGGCAUCUUCCUAUGCGGGUGUGAUAUGAUACAAGGGGUCGUGCGGAGUAUGUAUGUGACAGGCGACGAUUAGUGUCGUCACCAGCGGUGUCGUUGCUUACCCAUCCAUAGCAAUCAUCCACAAGUCCGUUUUUCCCGUUGUCCAUGCCGUCCCCACAGAUUUAGCCUGGAUUAGUCCAUCGGUUCUGGACCAACUCUGGUAGGGCCAUAUUGCAUCCACUGUCGCUAACAGCCACGGUCAUCGGUCUUCUGUCGCCGCACCACAGCUUUCCAUACGCGUUCUGAGUUUAUUCCAAACGGCCUGUAGCUCCGCAGAUUCCACUGAUCUUUAUAGUAUAAGGGUCAUCCGGAGGUGCAUUCGUGGAGUAACCUUUCAUCGCGAUGAGCAGAUCUGUAUCGUAGAGGGAGGCGGAAAAUACUUCUUCACAUGAAAGCGAGGCACUGGUGGUCCUCUCCAUGGACACUGCCGCCGUUUGGGCGCUCCAAAUAUAAUCAUCCAAGACUUUUGCAAUGUAGGCAUUAUCGAUGCAAGCAGUUUUUUUCCUUCGCAAGGCCCACAACGUCCAAGUCAGUAAGCCCUGAAGGUAGCCUUGUAGUUGCUUCCAUGUGCAAUGAUGUGGGGAAUCUGCUUGGCAUUUCUUCCGUUAUGCUCCGUGUUACUGGAAAAGAAUGAACGAAAGUUGUGGCAUCACGCGAAACUUAUGACUCCUCCGUGCGUGUUUGUUCUUUGUCAUGCAGAAACCUCGCAGCCUUCUAUCUGAUGACGUUCAUCACCGCCAUGCUCCCCUGCUUCCCUUCAACUAUCAUGAGCUCCUUGUUUGAUUCAAUUCCUCGUCAUGGCAGGAUACAUCGGCCACGUGUGUUAUUGAGAAUCGCUCACUGUAGGGUCCUCUUUUCCCGUAGCUGUUCAGGGUUACCGCCACGGUGGAGUGGUUGAUGUCGGGCGUGACGCUCUAGGAACGCUGGUGCGUGGGACGUGACUGUGGCCAAUGUACAGAC
rnacentral:lncRNA from 1 species